UACGAAGGGGGCUAGCGUUGUUCGGAAUUACUGGGCGUAAAGCGCACGUAGGCGGAUUGGCAAGUCAGGGGUGAAAUCCCGGGGCUCAACCUCGGAACUGCCUUUGAUACUGCCAGUCUAGAGUCCGGAAGAGGUGGGUGGAAUUCCUAGUGUAGAGGUGAAAUUCGCAGAUAUUAGGAAGAACACCGGUGGCGAAGGCGGCCCACUGGUCCGGAACUGACGCUGAGGUGCGAAAGCGUGGGGAG
rnacentral:rRNA from 1 species